rnacentral:lncRNA from 1 species
GCCGUCCCCACCGCCGCCGCUGUCCCCGCCGCCACCGCCGUCGCCCCGGCCCCCGCGCCCGCUGUCCCCGCUGCGCCCGCCUGUCCCUGCCGCCGCUGCCGCUGGAGGCCCGGACGCGACGAGCUCAGGACGCCGCUGCCGCCAUGGCCGUCGUCGCGCCGCGAACUGCAUUGUGGGGGGGAGGGCCGGCGGAGGAGACAGCUGGUUAUUAAACAUUUACUAUAACAUCCUUGUAAGAGGUGGCAUUUGAUCUGGAUCUUGGAGAAUGGAUAGAACUUAGAUGGAUGAAGAAGAAUGGAAAAAGCAUUUAAGAUGCAGUUGAAGCUACCUACAAACUGGUUUCCUGAAGAAAUGCACAGGAAUAGAUUCUCCAUCAAGGACACCCCCCAAAAGAGAUUGGUCUUGAUGAAAACCUCCCAGAAUUUUGACUAACCACCUUCCUCAACAAAGAUUGAGAGAUAUGAACUAGGAGACCCACCAUCAUUAUCUACCAACCUUGUGAUCUUUAUGGGUAUCCGGGAGUAGCAAAGAAGUCCUGGGAGCCAGCAAUCCUGGCUUCUAGUCUUACUCUGCCAUUAAUUACUCCCUGUGUAAUGCUGGGUAAAUUACUUCUAGCCCAACUCCAUUUUCUCCAUCUGGGAAAUCUGAGGAUUGACCUGGUUGACCUGGAUGAUGGCUUCCAGAGCUAACAUUCAGUGAUAUCCCUGCAUCUUACCAUUCUUACUACUCAAAUGAGCUCAUCUAUGUUGCAUAUUUUGUAAACCUGAAAGCCCUAUGUGAAUGCUAGCUAUUAUCCUUCUCUUUAAGCUGCUUUCUACUUAUUAUGUAAUUAUAUAUAUACAUAUACAUUAUUAUAUAAUU